rfam:Glossina morsitans morsitans, isolate Yale, WGS project CCAG01000000 data, contig: ctg10019172
GUAGAUGUAGUAUGUAGGGGGGUAGUUUUUAGUACGUAAGCGCCAUGGAUGGCGAACCGUGCAUAAUUCUAUUAAGAACCAGCAGUAUCUUUUGAAGAUUUUCUACCUCCUGC